UGGGUUGUGAUAAUGUGUUGAAAUUAACUUUAUUGAUUAUGGGCCACAGGGUUCAAUUCUCAGGCCGACUCUUUUCUCUGUGUAUAUCAAUGAUGUUGCUCUUGCUGCGGGCGAUUCCCUGAUCCACCUCUACGCAGACGACACCAUUCUAUAUACUUUCGGCCCGUCAUUGGACACUGUGCUAUCUAACCUCCAAACAAGCUUCAAUGCCAUACAACACUCCUUCCGUGGCUUCCAACUGCUCUUAAACGCUAGUAAAACCAAAUGCAUGCUUUUCAACCGGUCGCUGCCUGCACCUGCAUGCCCGACUAGCAUCACCACCCUGGAUGGUUCCGACCUAGAAUAUGUGGACGUCUAUAAGUACCUAGGUGUCUGGCUAGACUGCAAACUCUCCUUCCAGACUCAUAUCAAACAUCUCCAAUCGAAAAUCAAAUCAAGAGUCGGCUUUCUAUUCCGCAACAAAGCCUCCUUCACUCACGCCGCCAAGCUUACCCUAGUAAAACUGACUAUCCUACCGAUCCUCGACUUCGGCGAUGUCAUCUACAAAAUGGCUUCCAACACUCUACUCAGCAAACUGGAUGCAGUCUAUCACAGUGCCUUCGGUUUUGUCACUAAAGCACCUUAUACCACCCACCACUGCGACUUGUAUGCUCUAGUCGGCUGGCCCUCGCUACAUAUUCGUCGCCAGACCCACUGGCUCCAGGUCAUCUACAAGUCCAUGCUAGGUAAAGCUCCGCCUUAUCUCAGCUCACUGGUCACGAUGGCAACACCCAUCCGUAGCACGCACUCCAGCAGGUGUAUCUCACUGAUCAUCCCUAAAGCCAACACCUCAUUUGGCCGCCUUUCGUUCCAGUACUCUGCUGCCUGUGACUGGAACGAAUUGCAAAAAUCGCUGAAGUUGGAGACUUUUAUCUCCCUCACCAACUUCAAACAUCAGCUAUCUGAGCAGCUAACCGAUCGCUGCAGCUGUACAUAGUCUAUUGGUAAAUAGCCCACCCUUUUCACCUACCUCAUCCCCAUACUGUUUUUAUUUAUUUACUUUUCUGCUCUUCUGC
rnacentral:lncRNA from 1 species